UGUUUUAUGCUGAACUGUACGGGCCCUUCAUGUACCCAGAGAGCACUCGCCACAUUCCUCAGGCUGCAGACACCCUGAGUGCCAAAUGACAUGCACGGCUCUUUCUGAUGAUGCGGCUGCAGACGCCCUGAGUGCCAAGAGGACAUGCACGGCUCUUUCUGAUGAUGCGGCUGCAGACGCCCCGAGUGCCAAGAGGACAUGCACGGCUCUUUCUGAUGAUGCGGCUGCAGACGCCCCGAGUGCCAAGAGGUCAUGCACGGCUCUUUCUGAUGAUGCGGCUGCAGACGCCCCGAGUGCCAAGAGGUCAUGCACGGCUCUUUCUGAUGAUGCGGCUGCAGACGCCCCGAGUGCCAAGAGGACAUGCACGGCUCUUUCUGAUGAUGCGGCUGCAGACGCCACGAGUGCCAAGAGGUCAUGCACGGCUCUUUCUGAUGAUGCGACUGCAGACGCCCCGAGUGCCAAGAGGACAUGCACGGCUCUUUCUGAUGAUGCGGCUGCAGACGCCCCGAGUGCCAAGAGGACAUGCACGGCUCUUUCUGAUGAUGCGGCUGCAGACGCCCCGAGUGCCAAGAGGACAUGCACGGCUCUUUCUGAUGAUGCGGCUGCAGU